rnacentral:rRNA from 1 species
AUUGAACGCUGGCGGCAGGCUUAACACAUGCAAGUCGAGCGAGCGGCGGACGGGUGAGUAAUGUAUGGGAAACUGCCUGAUGGAGGGGGAUAACUACUGGAAACGGUAGCUAAUACCGCAUACCAUCGGAUGUGCCCAGAUGGGAUUAGCUAUUAGGUGGGGUAAUGGCUCACCUAGGCGACGAUCCCUAGCUGGUCUGAGAGGAUGACCAGCCACACUGGAACUGAGACACGGUCCAGACUCCUACGGGAGGCAGCAGUUGGGAAUAUUGCGCAAUGGGCGCAAGCCUGAUGCAGCCAUGCCGCGUGUAUGAAGAAGGCCUUCGGGUUGUAAAGCACUUUCAGCGUGGAGGCGUUACUCGCAGAAUAAGCACCGGCUAACUCCGUGCCAGCAGCCGCGGUAAUUC